GCCAGUGUGGCAUAGUGGUUUGAGCACUGGACUAUGACUAUGUAGAGAUCAGGGUUCAAAUCCCAGCUUGGCCA